GACAGAGGGUGCAAGCGUUGUUCGGAAUUAUUGGGCGUAAAGCGCACGUAGGCGGCCGUGCAAGUCGGAUGUGAAAGCCCAGAGCUCAACUCUGGAAGUGCAUCCGAAACUGCACGGCUUGAGUCCCAGAGAGGGUGGCGGAAUUCCCAGUGUAGAGGUGAAAUUCGUAGAUAUUGGGAGGAACACCAGUGGCGAAGGCGGCCGCCUGGAUGGAGACUGACGCUGAGGUGCGAAAGCGUGGGGAGCAAACAGGAUUAGAAACCCCAGUAGUCC
rnacentral:rRNA from 1 species